rnacentral:rRNA from 1 species
CAGUAGCCGCGGUAAUACGUAGGUCCCGGGCGUUGUCCGGAAUUAUUGGGCGUAAAGAGCUCGUAGGCGGUUUGUCGCGUCGGCUGUGAAAACUGGAGGCUCAACCUCCAGCCUGCAGUGGGUACGGGCAGACUAGAGUGCGGUAGGGGAGAUUGGAAUUCCUGGUGUAGCGGUGGAAUGCGCAGAUAUCAGGAGGAACACCGAUGGCGAAGGCAGUUCUCUGGGCCGUAACUGACGCUGAGGAGCGAAAGCGUGGGGAGCGAACAGGAUUAGAUACCCCGGUAGUCCCUGUCUCUUAUAC